rnacentral:rRNA from 1 species
UACGUAGGGUGCAAGCGUUAAUCGGAAUUACUGGGCGUAAAGCGUGCGCAGGCGGCUGUGCAAGACAGGUGUGAAAUCCCCGGGCUUAACCUGGGAACUGCACUUGUGACUGCAUGGCUGGAGUACGGCAGAGGGGGAUGGAAUUCCGCGUGUAGCAGUGAAAUGCGUAGAUAUGCGGAGGAACACCGAUGGCGAAGGCAAUCCCCUGGGCCUGUACUGACGCUCAUGCACGAAAGCGUGGGGAGCAAACAGG